UCCCUGGAGGACUAGUGGUUAGGCCCCAGUGCUCUCAGCGCUGCGGCCAGGGUUUGAUUCCUGGCCAGCGAA
rnacentral:tRNA from 1 species